rnacentral:rRNA from 1 species
UACGUAGGGUGCGAGCGUUGUCCGGAAUUAUUGGGCGUAAAGAGCUUGUAGGCGGUUUGUCGCGUCUGCCGUGAAAAUUCGAGGCUCAACCUCGAACUUGCGGUGGGUACGGGCAGACUAGAGUGUGGUAGGGGAGACUGGAAUUCCUGGUGUAGCGGUGAAAUGCGCAGAUAUCAGGAGGAACACCGAUGGCGAAGGCAGGUCUCUGGGCCGAUACUGACGCUGAGGAGCGAAAGCGUGGGGAGCGAACAGG